ensembl:lncRNA
ACGUACUUGGGAUCUGGAUGAUUUCCCAUGGUGAAAAUUACUAAUGCCUUAAUUAUUUUUAGCCACUGAUUUUGCCUUUCUAUGUGUGUGCUUGUGUUGAGAAAGUCACCAGGAAAUGGACGGACUUUGCCCUUUGAUGGGAUUUGAGAUCACUGUAACAUCACAGGAGAAAAAGCAUCAGUUCUGGCACCCAGGAGAGCGGCUGGGGUGCUUCGAAGAAUCACCAAAGUAGAAAGAAGCUGUAUUGCCUGGAUCCAGUUGAAUAAAGACAUAAAAGAUGAGCACCCAGUCCUUGAUCUGGACCUGAUAUUCCUGACUGGAGAGGAAAGAACAGAUAAUUAUGGAUUUCUGCAGAUAAUGGCUCAGGAGGCAGGUGUUAUAUUUGGAGCUAAUGAAACAGGUCCAGUAUCUGUGCUUCCAGAGCAGUUUCCAGUUAGGAGAUACAGUACUAAUGAAGCCAAUGGGUCACGAGAGCGUACGCGUUAAUGGAAGACAGACAUUCUGGUGCCUGUUGCCACUUAGUCUACUAGUCAAAAUAGAAGUACAGUAAAAUCUCCAUGUUCAUUAUCAUCUUGACAAUCUCCAAGCAGAAUCGUUUGAUACAAAGCUGUGGUAUGGAGCCAAUUACGGGAAAUGUCUUCCUUUGCAAUUCAGCCUUCCCUGGGCUCACAGCAGCCGUGAUACAUUUAUCAUGUUACUUUUGAAAAGGACCAUACUGGCAGGCCCCACCAGAAAUACAAGAAGGACCUGCUCCUUUCCUCCCAGCCCCAUUCACUACCUGAUGCAUACAGUACUAUAUAUUAAGCUGUAUGGUCUUACAUUUAGUGUGUGAGAAAGAAUUGUAUAAUUAAAUCUUUCAUCUGGAUGUCUUUGUGUUCUUUCUCAACAAGCACAAUGUAAAUAGUAUGUUCCAUUUCUUUAGAUACUUAUUGGAAAACAUAAAAGCCAAACUGAUACACUGUUUAUUUUUUUUCUGGUUGUUUUUAGAGAACUGCAACUGUAUGUAUUCUGUAUGCCCAAGAAGUGAUGGAUUCAGUCCCUCUGUAACAAGACAUGUGGCCUCAUGGCUAUUGAAGGUCUUGACCUGUGUGCUUCUACAGUCAGCAGAGGAAACUGGAGACUCUGAUUUGUCUUUGAGGUAUCCUAGUCCCACACAGAGAAAACUGAUAGGCAUAUAUGUGUGUGUGUGUGUGUGUGUGUGUGUAUGGGGUAAAAUAAAGUGAAUAAAUCCUUUUAUAUGGAUAAUAGUACUGGAAUAAUGGGUUUUGAUAGUUCUUUGGUCUGAGUGAAGGAUUUUACUUCUGAUUCUCCCAAAUGUGACUUUUUCCAGAAAACUCUCACAGCCCAGAAGAAAUUUACUAUCAUCCUGAGCAUGCUUAUUUACACAAAUCAGAACUGAUCUCUACAGAAGUAGAAUUCCAUCUGGCAAUCCCUAAAACACCUUUGCUUCUGAUUCUGAAAGACCUUCUCUUUGAAAUGCAUGCAGUAACCCAGGAACAAUAGCUUACACUUCAGUCCAAAGAUUCUCCGUACCCUUUAACUUCCUUCCAAGACUUAAUUAUUUUUUCAUUCUCUUAUGUAUAUAGACUGGGCAUGUGAGCAUGUAACAGAACUUCAGGAGUAAUUCUACAAAAGGUUGCUGGAUCUGUUGGAAGAAGAACUACACUAUCUUCCUUCUGGCAGCUGUAUAUUUAACUGUUCAUCUAUGGAAUACCAAUAUAUUUUGAAGGUGCUGGUACAGCUGUCUGUGUUUGCACAAGGUAUGUAAUUUGUCUGUGCCUUUGUCCUUCACAACAGGGAAACAACAAGGCUGUGAGGAUAAAUACCAGGGCUUUCUGGAGGAUUUCAGAAACUCAUCAGGUACACUCUGACAAUAUCAUCCUUUCUUCUGGGCCUGGUAGAAUAAAAGAAAUUGAGCUGUUGAAGCA